rnacentral:rRNA from 1 species
GACAGAGGGUGCAAACGUUGUUCGGAAUUACUGGGCAUAAAGAGCACGUAGGUGGUGCGCUAAGUCACGUGUGAAAUCCCCCGGCUCAACCGGGGAAUGGCGCGUGAUACUGGCGGACUCGAGGCGGGUAGGGGUGAGCGGAACUCCAGGUGGAGCGGUGAAAUGCGUAGAUAUCAUUUGGAACGCCAAUGGUGAAAACAGGUAGCUGGGGCUGUGCUGACACUGAGACACGAAAGCCAGGGGAGCAAACGGG